rnacentral:rRNA from 1 species
AUACGGAGGGGGCAAGCGUUAUUCGGAAUUAUUGGGCGUAAAGGGCGCGCAGGCGGCUUGACAAGUCAACGGUGAAAUCCCUCGGCCUAACCGAGGAACUGCCUUUGAAACUGUCUCGCUUGAGGCCGGGAGAGGGUGGUGGAAUUCCCGGUGUAGGGGUGAAAUCCGUAGAUAUCGGGAGGAACACCAGUGGCGAAGGCGGCCACCUGGACGGUGACUGACGCUCAGACUCGAAAGCGUGGGUAGCAAACAGGAUUAGAAACCCCAGUAGUCC